UGAAAAAGCCUGCUACCGCGGGAUGUGCAAGCACCUGUUUUUGUGGUGCCCAUUUCACUAUCCGUCCUCUUUCUGCUACCAUUUCCUCAAAACCAUCAGGGAGUGCCUCAGCACAUUGAAAACCAUAGACAGAGCCCGGUCGAAUAACCCACAAGAAGGGUUGAUCACUAUUAGCUAAUCCCCAAGCAGUCUCAAUUAGCUCUUUGUCAUCAAUCCUCAUUAGGCUACCUAAGCUGACAUAGAGAACAGAGUUAGGAGCUUGUCUGUCGAGCCACUCGAUGCAGCUGUUGUCUUCUUCUAGUAUGCUAGUCGAUGAGGCCAUAGGCACCAUUUUGUGAAAAGGUCCUAUUGGAAAGAAGGGCACCUUGUAAUGUUCCUGAAGGCGUAACAACAAUGAAUUCUCCAAGUCUUGCAUCGUGUUCCAAAUAGUCGCAACAGAUGAUCCUAUAUCACUCAUUGAUCUGCUGAAGUCUAGUAUCGGUGCUUGAACUGUAUUAUUAACGACAUUAAUUGGUAUAUCCUUAAACCUCAAGGGAUGAAGCUCUGGUAACGGAUCCAGCAGUUGAGAAUCUGGACUUGAAAGUGAGUAAUCAAUGCAGACUUAGCAAAAGAUACAACAUAAUGUAAGAAAAAGAUUAUAGUCUAUUGACCAUCUAUUUUUAGUAAAAUCGAAUGGAAGGAGUACUUUUCAUUUCCUUUUUUAUUCUAUAAUCAUCGGUGCUUGAAAUGAAUGUAAAUAGGGAACAUGGUUAGUGAGAUUUACAUAGCCAACCCCAACUUGUUUGGGGCUGACGCGUAGUUAUUGCUAUAUUAUUGAAUUUGAAAUGAUUUUUCAGUUAAAUGUUGAAGUAAUUGUUCUCAUACCUUUAAAAGGAAAAUAUUUUUCUGGUUGCUGUAAAAUGGUGAUCAUAGAGUCCAAAUACGCAGCACUGUAAGUGCGCAGGACAAUGCUGGGAAGUCUGAGCUGAGUAGCUACAUCAUCGACGAAGAACAUGAUGCUGUCAUAAAUGAUACAAGCGAGCUGAUCACCUUCCUCUUCCAUCAUCCUAACAAGGUAGUUUCUCAGGGGCGCCUUACAGCUCUCGUUCAUACGAUAUAUACUCUUUAAACCCGGGAAUGACAUGUCCAUUCCCUUUAAUCCGUCAUCCAUAGAAUGGAAGACGAAUUCAGGAUGAUUGGAAUAAUUAGGAGCAUUGUGUUGAGUAUGUGCUACUAUAACAGAAAAGCCUUGUGAAUGAAGGAUACUUCCAAGCUGCAGCAUUGGUGUUAAAUGCCCCUGGAGUAGGAAUGGCACUAGUACUACACUCUGUUUUCUUUCUACUUUCAUCUUUGUUUUCUUGGAAUUUCUCUUCUAUUCAAAAGUUUAGUAGUACGAGGUACUAGUUUUCUUGAAGGAAGUUUAUGUAUAGCUCUCAAAUUUUGGGACUCUUGACCAGCAAGGGCGGAUCUAGCAUUAAAGUUUUGGGUUAAUGUUAAUCAAGUAGCUUUAGCUCAGAUCUCGUAUUUUUACUAAAAAUCUAUCAAUAUUAAUUGUACCUUUUGUUUUUAUUUGUUAUAAAUUGUUUUGACCUGCUACUUGAUACUCCUUGGGAGAUUUUAUUUGUUCACUUUUGAAUUGACAUACCUAUUAAGAAAAUAAUUAUUGAUAUAGUAAGUUUACUAUUUUACUUCUAUUAAUUAUGAAGUGGAUGAAUUAAAGAUUUAACAUUUUCAAGAAGUUCUACUUUUUUCAAAGUGAUUAAUUGAGAAUAUAAUAGAAUUUUUGUUUAUCCUUUCUUGAUUUGUCAAAAUAAAUAAGUAAUUAAAAAUAACUAAUAAAAUAAAAUAAAUAAGUAAUUAGAAACAGAAAAGAAAGUAUUGAAUGAGGGGUAAUGAAUUGGAACAACUCACCAUUCUCAAUCCCAAAAAAAUGAGUAACGAGAUCCACAAGUAAGCCCUCAAUCUUGGAAUUGGUGCUGUUUGUCUUUAUAUAUGUAAAGUCUUCUAGUCCAAUAUAAUUAAGUAUUCACGGUGAGACGCUCAUAUCAAGAAAAAUUGAUGUGCAUGUUUUUAAAAUGUUUUUUUAUUCUAAUAAUUUUGUUGGUUAAUUACUUGAAUUUUUAGUUAUAUGAAGGUUCGAUUUUUCUAUCUUUUAAUUUAUUUAUAUAUAAUAUAUGUUGAACCUUCUUGGUGAAAUUAUGUCUAGGCUACUAUAUGUAUUAGCUGAUAUUAUGAUUAUCUUCUAUAAUUUUUCUCUUCCCUAGAUUGAAUUGUGAAGGAUUUAUACUCGGAGAUUUAUACGAAAUAAUACAUACCUUUUUCUCUAUAAUUGAGUGUGUUAUCACCACCAAUUUCCUUAGCAUUUUCUUACACGAUCACUAUGGAGACUAUGAAGUCUUGUUAAGUCCUUACUAGGACAAUGUUGAGACUUGUAACUUUUAUUCAUUUAAGAGUUACAUAACCCCUUAUCUCAUAAUUUCCACUCCAUUCAUGAAUACCAUAACUCUUUCUCUUUUACCAAUAAAGAUUGUGGUGGAGUGGUAAGUGCCUAACUUUUAAUUAGAGAUUAAGGGUUCGAGUUAAUUAGAGAUUAAGGGUGGAGUGUAUAUGAUUUGUUGGUAUACGAAGAAAAAUUGGUAGAUAUGGAGCACAUUGAUGCCAAUAGGGUUGAAAUUUCACUGCUGGAUAUUGAUCCUACUUUAGUCCCAGGUUCUUUCUUAGAGUAGCCUAAUGGGAUUGAAGUAUUUAACCCUGAAUCAUUCAGGUCUUCUUUAAAUGCGACUAGCCUGACUACUAACUUAGAAGACCGAGAAAUCAUUAAAAGAAAAAAAAAAAAGUGCCGUGAUUUGAACUUUAAACUAACCGAACACCAAGAAAUAAGUAAGAAAACCAUUUAUUUUCCACAAAAAUGAUUUCUAGGAAAAUAUAUUCAUUCAUACCAAACACAACCAUAGCUCCCUCCAUAUUAUAUUUUUAACAUAGGGAUAACAAAGAGUAAAUAUAUCUCAGUUCUAACAACUAGCAAACAAUAUGUCAAAGUUCCCAACUUAUUAAACAAAUCAACAGACUAAAAUAAGAAAGUUUUAUGAUUAUAGCAGGCUGCUAUAUUGCUUCAGCAUUUACCCCACGGACUUCAGAAAAAUUCACUAAUCACCAAUUUUGAUUUUUAUUCCAACAGUUACUCACUUAUAAUGUCCAUAUAAAUAUCGAAUGUCAAAUGAGUUGAAAACAAAAUCAAUAAAUACUCUUGGGUCAAGUUGGGACCCGGGAUUGGGAUCGAGAUUUGAGAUUUGGGUCAGGAGUCGGGGUUGAGGUCUCUGGAUGGAGUCAUGGAUCUGGGUUGAGGUUAGGUCCAGAGUUAACUUCGGGUUGCAGUUCGUGGCAUGGGGUCAGUUGUCAGGUCCUAGGUUAAGGUUAGGUCAGGGUUUGGUCGAGGAUCAAGUUUUGAGUCGGUGUUGAGGUCAGGGUUUUGGUUUAGGUCAGUGUUGGGGUGAGGUCGGGUCGAGUCAAGUCCGGGUCUAUAUAUGUUAUAGGGUGGUUCCAGGUCUAGGUGUACAAAGAUACUCGUGGGACAAUAAUAUUCUUUACUAAUCAAACACCAGAAAAUAAGUAAGCAAAUCAUUUAUUUUCCACGAAAAUAUUGUCCUACCAACUAGGAAACAAUAUGUCAAAGUUCCCAACUUAUAAAAUUAAUCAACAAACUAAAUUAAACUGCUUCAGCAUUAAGUAAAAGUUCACUUCUUAUCUUAUUCUUCGUUUUGUGAUUAAGGACUUGUUGUCUUGCCAAGCUAACAGGCCACAAAUAUAUGGUUUGAGCUCAAAAAUUACUUCCAGACUCUAUGAUACACUUGCUUGUUAUAUGGUUUGAGCUCAUGAUUGCCCCAAAAACAGGUGUUGGUGGAGCGGGUCUUGAUGGCAACGCAGAAAUGAAGUCUACCAAAUCAUUCAGAUUCUUAUGUGAAGUACCAUCAAUCUGCAUAGCAGCAACUAUGUUUUGUUUCAUGUCUACUACUCUUUUCUUCACAUCUUUGCCUUCUUCACUUAACAUGAGUUUUCUUACUGUUUUCUCUAUGACCGUUCUCUCGAUAACCUCCAAUUCGAACCCAACCUUGUAUAUUUGGCUCAGAUACCUAGCUGUCACCGGCUGGUCUGCUACAAAUGGCCUGCAUAUCAAAGGGACUUCCUCCAAAAUACUUUCAAGCGUAGAAUUCCAACCACAAUGAGUGAAAAAGCCUGCUACCGCGGGAUGUGCAAGCACCUGUUUUUGUGGUGCCCAUUUCACUAUUCGUCCUCUUUCUCCUACCAUUUUCUCAAAACCAUCAGGCAGUACCUCAGGACAUUGAAAGCCAGAGACAGAGCCAGGUCGAAUAACCCACAAGAAGGGUUGAUCACUAUUAGCUAAUCCCCAAGCAGUCUCAAUUAGCUCUUUGUCAUCAAUCCUCACUAGGCUACCCAAGCUGACAUAGAGAACAGAAUUAGGGGCUUGUCUAUCGAGCCACUCGAUGCAGCUAUUGUCUUCUUCUAGUAUGCUAGUCGAUGAGGCCAAAG
rnacentral:lncRNA from 1 species